AACGAACGCUGGCGGCAUGCCUAACACAUGCAAGUCGAACGAGACCUCCGGGUCUAGUGGCGCACGGGUGCGUAACGCGUGGGAACCUGCACUUAGGUUCGGAAUAACUCCCCGAAAGGGGUGCUAAUACCGGAUAAUGUCUUCUGACCAAAGAUUUAUCGCCUUUGGAUGGGCCCGCGUUGGAUUAGCUGGUUGGUAGGGUAAAAGCCUACCAAGGCGACGAUCCAUAGCUGGUCUGAGAGGAUGAUCAGCCACACUGGGACUGAGACACGGUCCAGACUCCUACGCGAGGGAGCAGUGGGGAAUAUUGGACAAUGGGCGGAGGCAUGAUCCAGCACUGCCGCGUGAGUGAUGAAGGCGUUAGAGUUGUAAAGCUCUUUUACCCGGGAUGAUAAUGACGGUACCGGGAGAAUAAGCACCGGCUAACUCCGUG
rnacentral:rRNA from 1 species